ensembl:snRNA U6 U6 spliceosomal RNA
GUGCUCGCUUCAGCAGUACAUACACUAAAAUUGAUGAUACAGAGAAGAUUAGUAUGACCCCUGUGAAGAAUAACAUUCAAAUUCAUGAAGCGUUACAUAUUUUU